rnacentral:rRNA from 1 species
UACGUAGGUGGCGAGCGUUGUCCGGAUUUACUGGGCGUAAAGGGAGCGUAGGCGGACUUUUAAGUGAGAUGUGAAAUACUCGGGCUCAACUUGAGUGCUGCAUUUCAAACUGGAAGUCUAGAGUGCAGGAGAGGAGAAUGGAAUUCCUAGUGUAGCGGUGAAAUGCGUAGAGAUUAGGAAGAACACCAGUGGCGAAAGCGGCUCUCUGGCCUGUAACUGACACUGAGGCUCGAAAGCGUGGGGAGCAAACAGG